rnacentral:rRNA from 1 species
UACGGAGGGUGCGAGCGUUGUCCGGAAUCAUUGGGCGUAAAGGGCGCGUAGGUGGCCCGGUCAGUUCGUGGUGAAAGCGCGGGCUCAACCCUGCGUCGGCCAUGAAUACUGCCGCGGCUGGAGCACUGUAGAGGCAGGCGGAAUUCCGGGUGUAGCGGUGGAAUGCGUAGAGAUCCGGAAGAACACCGGUGGCGAAGGCGGGUCUCUGGGCAGUAACUGGACGCUGAGGAGCGAAAGCGUGGGGAGCAAACAGG